GCUUAAUUCUCUUCUUCUGUGGUAUUUUAUUAUAGCAGCCAGAGCUAGAGGCAGCGUUAAAGAGCAGUCUGAGUCAAAAGGAUAUCCCAGUAGCUAUGCCAUCUGAACAAGCUUGUAAAUAGAUUUUCCUCCGUGUCUACGAGAAGCUGAAUCAGCCUUUCCUGAUUGUGUGGAGCCAAAGAGAAACACUGAGAGUUGAGGCUGUGGCCAUUCCAAGAUCUGUCUGUCCACUCCAGACCUCUGCACAAAUUUAUGGUGUUGGCCACAGAGAGAAAUACAACAACAUAGAGAUAAAAAGAAAUGGCCAAUCACCUGUCCAGCUGUACACUGAGCCACCAACCAUGUCCUAUAACUGGGGAGUCUUACAGGGUGGAAAAAUUAUAACCCUCUUUUCUGUAA
rnacentral:lncRNA from 1 species